rnacentral:rRNA from 1 species
UACGGAGGGUGCAAGCGUUACCCGGAAUCACUGGGCGUAAAGGGCGUGUAGGCGGCCAUGUAAGUCUGGUUUUAAAGUCCGGGGCUCAACCUCGGAUCGGCCGUGGCGACUCGUGGGCUGGAGCACUGUAGAGGCGGGUGGAAUUCCGGGUGUAGCGGUGGAAUGCGUAGAGAUCCGGAAGAACACCAGUGGCGAAGGCGGCCCGCUGGGCAGUGGCUGACGCUGAGGCGCGACAGCGUGGGGAGCAAACAGG